AGGUGUACACACGGGUGAUCACACACACAAACUACACCCUUUUUGGCUCCUACCUCAAAGCACACUGUGUUCUGUUGAUCUUAUGUGCUGCACAAUAAUGUUUAAUAUUUAGUAUUUACUGUCAUAUUCCCAUAUAUCAUUGUGAUGCUGUUUAUUCUAUUACUCUUGUUCUCUUCUGCUUGUUUUCUUUUUUCUUUCUCAACAGGUGAUCCAGGUGAUCGAUAUAUGCAUUUUUUUCUCUCUUUUUUUUUUCUGCCCGUUCUGUUGGUUUUUGUUUUUUGCCCUUCUCCCCCGUCCCUCUUCUCAGCUGUUUCUCUUUCCCUCUUUCUUUUUCCCCUUCUUUCCCCCAGUCAAGUCUGUCCCGUAUUCAACAAGUGAAAAUAAAAUACACAAUAAAAGGUGAAUCAAAUGGACCAUUAUGGCAAGGCUGGGAUGGUCAAUUUGGUAAAGUAAAUCCGUUGGGCAUCUUUCUUUGCCUUUAGACAAUAAUUCUGAUGGCAAAAGAGCCAAACGGGACAGGCAAAAAAUAAAUAAAUAAUAAAAUAAAUAAUAAUAAAACAGGACUGUAAGUCAUAUUAUGAUAGAAAAUUGGCAUAAACAUUUUUCAAGAUCGAUACUUCAAAUCAUCCCGCAAAUUGUCUGCAGUGCGUUAAACAGUGUUAGUAUGCAAGCCAUGGGAUUUUCUCAGAUACUGAGGAAAACUUGCAUGUUGUUUGCCUUUUCCAAUGGAAAAUGACCUUUGGGAUAAAAUAAGAUUUUAAGCAGGAAGUGAAAGCGAUACUGAGGGAAGUCUGAAGGGACUGACAGUAAAGAAUAUAUUUAAGACUUAAUUACAAGACCAAAUGUGUGACCACAACAAACUAUCAUAUUAUAUAACUUAUAAAGGUAAGAUUAGAUAAGAGUGUGUUAUAAUCUAAUCUCUUAACCUUAAUCUCUUAUUCUGAUUUUAUCUGAGAGCACUGUGACCAUUAAAAAUCUAUUUGUAUUAAUGGCAGAGAAGCUUGAAAAAGCAAUCAUGUCUGUGAUUCUAAUAUUGACAGAUUGAUGGCUUUAUUCACUGCAUACACCACCUCAAAGAAAACAUUCAGUUUCUUUAGGCUACUUCUGGUCGCCCUGUCUCAUUCUUUUAAGCCAACAUCAAAAACCUUAAGCAAACUUUCAGGAAAAAAAAAAAGGUGUAUUUUAAGGAAUAAGAAAUAAGGUAAUCCACUGAAAGCAUGUUGCAGAUAUAUUUUAUCAUGUACAUAAUUAAAAUUACAUACUGAAUAUUGUGAGUUUUCUUUACAUACAUACUGUGAACUGUAACCAUACGAAACUGACAGCCCCUGUGUCGAAAGCACAUCUAAGUGAAACAAAACAUCCAGCAGACUUUAUUGGAUUUGCAGAAGAUAAAGACAAUCAGCUGACUAAAACAAUCUAAGUAACAUACAAAUUAUGUUACAAACAGGUAAAUAAAUAAUGCAAACUAUAACAAAUGAACUCAUACAUUCUGUUUUUGAUGACGCUGACACUUGUACUGUAACCUAAAGUGCACCUUGAUCCACUAUUCCCAUUUAGUAUUUCAAAAGGAAGUUUUGCAGAUGCACAAUGCCAGCUCCUACAGUCACUGCAACACUGGCUGCGUGCCAUGUUUUGAUACGGAUUUCUUUAUGAUUGUUGAGAUCUGAUUAGAUUAGGAAUUGAUGGGGAUUUGCUGUUAAACACAAAUGUCAUGUUUGUUCAGGCUUGUUUCCAUGUGUAAACUCCAGAGUAAAAAAGACAGAUAGUUGCAAUGGUGCUGGACUUGAUCUAACACUGUAUCCAAAAUUUAGGUGUAAAAUAAUUAUGACAGUAUAUUAGGUUAGAGAAAAAUCAUGUUUGAGAUUUUAUAUAUAUAUAUAUAUAUAUAUAUAUAUAUAUAUAUAUAUAUAUAUAUAUAUAUAU
ensembl:lncRNA